GCAGGAGGAGGACAGUGGACCCCCGCCCAGGAAUUUCUCUCUGACUGUGAGAUAUACUCAGCAGAGGAAUGACUUUGAUCACCACCCCGGAACAAUAUUAAAUCAUUCAUUUCAAGAGCCAAAGGGACUGGAAUCUGCUUUUUAAGGUCCCAUGCAGCACUUGAGUUGUGCCGGAACGUUCCAGAGCUCCAUUCCAGCACUUCUUUUGGAAGCCAGAACAGCAUUCAGGGCUCGAGCACUGGUUCUGUGAUGGUAAAACUGGCGGCCCAUCACCAUAACUGUGGCUGCUUGUUUGAAUUAAGGAAUGGAUGUGCUACACUUCAUGAAAACAUGCCAAUGGCUGCAGGCAAUAUGAAAUGAUCUCAGGAGUGUUACGAGAGAGGCUGCUGAAGCACAGAACACAUUUUAGGCACAUCAAUCAUCUCUUCCUGCUAUUCUCUGGGAGAUGAAACAUCCAGUGGUACCAGAAGCUUCAAUGCACUUAUAUUCCAGGAGAGAAA